GGAGAAAAGCAAGGAGCUCAACUACUGGUUUCUCAAAUCCUGUGAUAGUAAACAGCUUUGUGGGUGUUUUGUCUUGCAUAGAGAUCCUGGGUGUGUUCCUCUUCAUCCUCUUUUUAGCAUGGACUUAUUAUACCCGCAUCUCUAACGAUUUCAAGAACUUGAUGCCAAUCAAAUCUCUGAAAUUGAAUUUAUGGCAACUCAAGUAUCUGAGAGUGGCAACCCGUUUUGGUUUGCUAGCAGAAGCCUGCCUGGCUUUGCUUCUUCUGCCUAUUUUAAGGGGCCUGGCCUUAUUUCAAUUACUUGGCAUCCAAUUUGAAGCUUCAGUAAGAUACCAUAUCUGGCUUGGGACUUCAAUGAUAUUUUUUGCCACUGUUCAUGGUGGAAGCACCUUGUUCAUCUGGGGUGUCAGCCACCAUAUUCAAGAUGAGAUGUGGAGAUGGCAGAAAACAGGGAGGAUAUACUUAGCUGGGGAGAUAGCUCUUGUCACUGGACUAGUAAUCUGGAUUACAUCACUUCCUCAAAUAAGGAGGAAAAGAUUCGAAAUCUUCUACUACACACACCAUCU
rnacentral:misc_RNA from 1 species